GCUGGGCAGGGCCGGCCGGCACAGGGAUGCUCAGCCGAGCGCGGCCGCGGCCCUGUGCGCACAGCGGCGGGGCGGCUCCGGGGCUCGGCACCGCACCGCACCGCACCUCGCUGUGCGCUCCUGCAGCCGGCCCCGGUGCGCCACGCAAAGCACGGAGUCAGGCUGCUGCCGGCGUGUCGGAGAAACGGGGCAGCGGCGGGGACCGAGUCAUGGGCUUCGAUCAUGACAUCAGGAGCAACAGUUUGAACAUCUGGAUGAAAUGUUGACAUAAGGACCUAAACACAAGAGAGGAGCUAUAUUCCAUUUUGUCCAUCCAAGAACCUGACUUGUUUUUCUCAAGUUUACUCUCAUCAACAACUGCCAGGCAGGUUUUCCAGAAGAAAAGAAUAAAACAUGGUUUGAUUCUCCAUGCAGAGAUAAAACCUCCACAGGUUAAACCCUAGAAUUCUUUCCACAAUUCUUGGUAAGACACAAAUGCCUUUAAAAUGUCCCAUUCUUCAUUCAGGCAGCAGGGAAAUUUACUAAAUAUAAAAGAAAAUGUUUGCUUACCACCCAUACCCCGAGGAUAAGCAAAUCUAUGGGCAUCGAAAAUGUUUACUAACAGAACCCUAUGAAAAUAAUUUUAUUUUCUCCUGUAAUAAGCAAUAUUAUUGUUUCUUUGCUCUCAUUGAUUGUUAGGGUUUGCACGUGUUUGACAAAACAGUACCCUUAGACAAGGCAUAGGUAGCAAACCCAUGUUUUUAUUAAAGAUUUUUGCAAAUUACACCUUGUCUUUUUUGCAAAUUCAUUGAAUUAUGCAAAACUGUGAGAAUAUAGCAGUAGUACCCAGUGAACUGGAAGUGCCUUGAAGAAAAAGCAUAUAGCAGAGCACCAAAGAGCAUUAAAGAGUGUCUGAUAAUAAACAAAUUAGGCAGAGGGAGAGCUUGGGAGGCAGGUUCCUAUGAGGCAUGUGCUCUGAAAGCAGAAAUGCAGGCAAACUGGAUGUGCCCUACAGUAGGAGAGUGCCAGAGGACUGAAGAGCCAUUUCCAUGAACCAGGAACCACAGCUGCCAUCGGGACCAACAUCAGUAAUUGAAAGAGUGGAGGUUCCUGGUAUUGCAGACAUCAGAUGAUAUCUCUGGAGACAGAGCAGAAGAGACAUGACAAAGUGUCCUGGGUCAGAAAAAGGACCACCAACAGGAAGAAUAAGAAAGGAUGCAAAGGAAAUCCAAUUGCACGCUGCACUCCUAACCUGGGCUCUACCCCCAUGUGAGGUGCCCUAGGACUGGUUUGUGCCACUAAAGAAAAAGGUCUCAGGAGCCCCAGGACCCAGAGAGGCACUGCAAUCACUGACUCACAGAUCACAUUCAGAAUGCACAGCCCUCUUGAGAAUGGCCUUUUUUCAUUUCAUAAUCAAAAAUAUUCUAAUGUAGACAUUCAGACAACAUAAGCAGAUUAGUAUCUUCCCCAAGUUACACAAAGAAAAGGCUCCUCUACUGACCAAGCAGUUAUGAUUCAAUAAAUGGAUAAAAUGAUUUCUAUUGGACA